AGCAGUCGCCACGGUAAUACGAAGGGUGCAAGCGUUAAUCGGAAUUACUGGGCGUAAAGCGUGCGUAGGCGGUGAGUUAAGUCUGCUGUGAAAUCCCCGGGCUCAACCUGGGAAUGGCAGUGGAUACUGGCUCGCUAGAGUGUGUCAGAGGAUGGUGGAAUUCCCGGUGUAGCGGUGAAAUGCGUAGAGAUCGGGAGGAACAUCAGUGGCGAAGGCGGCCAUCUGGGACAACACUGACGCUGAGGCACGAAAGCGUGGGGAGCAAACAGGAUUAGAUACCCGCGUAGUCCCUGUCUCUUAUAC
rnacentral:rRNA from 1 species